rnacentral:rRNA from 1 species
AUUGAACGCUGGCGGCAGGCCUAACACAUGCAAGUCGAGCGGAUGAAGGGAGCUUGCUCCUGGAUUCAGCGGCGGACGGGUGAGUAAUGCCUAGGAAUCUGCCUGGUAGUGGGGGAUAACGUCCGGAAACGGGCGCUAAUACCGCAUACGUCCUGAGGGAGAAAGUGGGGGAUCUUCGGACCUCACGCUAUCAGAUGAGCCUAGGUCGGAUUAGCUAGUUGGUGGGGUAAAGGCCUACCAAGGCGACGAUCCGUAACUGGUCUGAGAGGAUGAUCAGUCAAACUAGACCUGAGAGAAGGUACAUACUGGUCAGGGAGGGAGCAGCCUGGAACAUUGGGCAAUGGGCGCCCGCCUUAUCCAGGCCUGCCGCUUGUCUGACGACGGUCCCCUGAUCGUAGAGCUCUUCAACUUGGGCGGACGCCCAGUAAGUUCAUCCCUCCAUCUACUGACGUCAACAACAGAAUAAGUACCGCCUAGCUCCGUG